rnacentral:snRNA from 1 species
AUGGUUACUCUGCAAUUCACACUUGGCUAAGAUCAAAGUGUAGUAUCUGUUCUUAUCAGCUUAAUAUCUGAUACGUCCUGCAUCGCAGGACCAGAAUAUUAAACUCAUUUUUGGCUCAUGACAGAGUGCUAGGGGCUUGCUCCACCUCUGUCACAGGUUGGCCCGGCAUUACAGUACCGCCGGGAUCGGCCCACCUAAA